GAGGACAGACACAUGACAAGCCCAUCCAAAUUCCUGGCUCAUGCCUCUGCAGAAGAUGACCAGUGCACACUCUGUGAGACAUACCCGGAGAGAUGUCUCGGUGGAUAAGGGCACUGGCUGAACUUCUGCAGGACACAGCUCCUACACGAUGACUCAAGUGUCUGCAACUCUAGUUCCAGGUGACCUUACCUCUCUUCUGACCUCCAUGGGCUCCAGCCACACAUGUAUAUGUGACAUUUAUGCAGGCAGAACACUCCGACACAUACAGCACCCAACUCAAGAAAACAGAAUGGAAUACAUUGCCUCUCUUGUUGUGGAGAACACCAUGGCCAUCCAUUCAGAAGUGGUUUUCCAGACUCACCCUUCUCUCCUUCCUGUUUCCAGUGUACUAGCAAAAUGAUGUUUGUUGUUGUUGUUGAUGAUGAUGGUGAUGUGGGUAUUUCAAGACAGUUUUACUAUGUAGUCCAAGCUGGCCUAGAACUCACAAUGCAGCCUAGGCUGACCUAGAACUCACAAUACAGUCUCCAGUCCUCAACAACGCUGGUAUUGCAAGGGUGCUCAGUAACAAGGAGCAUGGAGCUGGGAGGAAGUACAAGGCCCCACUUCUACAUUGCUGGAUUAAAAUCUCUCUAUACAUGGCAGGUAUUACAAGUAAAAGAGAGA
ensembl:processed_transcript